AAAUUGAAGAGUUUGAUCAUGGCUCAGAUUGAACGCUGGCGGCAGGCCUAACACAUGCAAGUCGAACGGUAACAGGAAGAAGCUUGCUUCUUUGCUGA
rnacentral:rRNA from 2 species